UGCAGUUUGAUCUCAGACUGCCCUGCUAGCAAUCAGCGAGACUCCGUGGACGUAGGACCCUCCGAGCCAGGUGCAGGAUAUGAUCUCCUGGUGCGCCGCUUUUUUAAGCCCGUCGGAAAAGCGCAGUAUUCGGGUGGGAGGGACCGGAUUUUCCAGGUGCCGUCUAUCACCCCUUUCUUUGACUAGGAAAGGGAACUCCCUGACCCCUUGCACUUCCUGAGUGAGGCAAUGCCUUGCCCUGCUUCGGCUCCCGCUAGGUGCGCUGCACCCACUGACCUGCGCCCACUGUCUGGCACUCCCUAGUGAGAUGAACCCAGUACCUCAGAUGGAAAUGCAGAAAUCACCCGUCUUCUGCGUCGCUCACGCUGGGAGCUGUAGACCGGAGCUGUUCCUAUUCGGCCAUCUUGGCUCCUCCCGACAUUCGAUGUUUCACCAUCAAGUAUGACAUUAGCUCUUUUGUCAUUUCACUUUCCUG
rnacentral:lncRNA from 10 species